GGAGGCGCUCAGAAGACAGCAUAUUGCAGUUGUUAGGCAAGAACAAAGUAGUGACGGUACAUGAGAAAAGAAGAAUGUAAGGGUUACUGGGCAGGAAAACAAACAGAACUUGGUACUGUUUGUUUGGGGAUGUAAAAGGCAGAGUAGAUUUUAAAAUUUAAAGUCUGGGUGUCCAGCAAGGAAGAUAGAAAUUUGGAGGAGAAGUAGGUGUAUCAGCAAGAUGAAAACUGAGCCAGAGCUGGAGAACCAGGCGCAGAAAACAAGAGGCAACCGAGUGUGGCAGGCAGCCCAGAACUGCUACAAGCCCACUCCGGCCACAGGAGCUUUUGGUGCGAAUGCCACCACGAUGCUGCCUGCAGGGGGAGCUCGCCAUGGCUGAUGCUGCACCCUCGGCCCUGAGACAGCGCGGCUUCCACCUCCAGAAGUGAUUUCUGACUGACCCAGGCUGAAGCCUCUGACUGACAGGGCGCAGGCUAGGAUGCGGAGGCCGAGCAGAAGAAAUUGACCACUGUUCAAUAAAGCAGUGAGGAAGGUAGGAGCCCCAAAAUAUCUGAGACAGGUCUCAAUCAAUUUAGAAAGUUUUUUUCGCCAAGGUUAAGGACGCAUCUGUGACACAGCCUUCAGGAGAGCCUGAUGACAUGCCCAAGGUGGUCGGUGCACAACUUGUUUUGUACAUUGUAGGGAGAGAUAAUCCAUCAAUUAAUACAUGUAAGAUUCACAUUGGUUCUAUCUGGAGGGAGGGACAACUCAAAGCAGGGUGGCGGGCCUUCCAGGUAGAUUUAAAAUUUUCCCGUUUGGCAAUUGGUUGAAAGAGUUAUUAUUGGUAGAAAGAACUGUCUGGGAGCAAGGAGAAGGAGGUGGUGGUGGAGGGAAGUGUUGGGAACAGACAGGGAAAUGAGGACAAGCAAAUCCUGGAGGGGCUCCUUUAAUACAAGUUAAUAUUUAAAGGUGUUUAUCAUAAGCAAGUGUUACGCCCAAAACUGUGGGGUAUUCAAACAUGGGGAAGACAGGUCAUGACUUCAAUGAGCUGAUGAGCUACCAGGCAUCGGAGUAGAUGACCUUUAAUGUUCGUUCAACCUUAAAUAUGCUAGAACUUAAUAUUUUUAACGCAAAUAUCAAUAAAAAUCAAGUGAGGAUUUAAUAAGGUCAAAUAAUAAAAAUUGCAUUGGGAGUUCAGAGCAGGAGGCAGACACUUCCAGCUGGGAAGGUUUCAGGGAGGAAGCAGAAUCUUAAAGGAUAAGGAGACUUAGUGGGGACAAUGAGCAUUUGGAGGGUUUGCCAAAGAAAACAAAAGGUAUAAAACUAUGACACACACACACAGACACACACACAUAUACAAACCAGAUGUCAGAGUAGACAUUUAUCAGUUGUGAGGCUUCCCAGCAUCUGAAUCUCUUGAGGUUCCCCAUCUUAUGAGUCACAGCUAUGACUCUAAGAGCUGAAAGAUCAGAUGCUCACUUUCUCUGUCAUCUUUAAGUCUAGGGCACAGGCGCACAGCUUGGCUUUCUCAAUUAGGGACACUCAGGGGCCGGGUGCGGUGGCUCACGCCUGUAAUCCCAGCACUUUGGGAGGCUGAGGCGGGUGGAUCAAGAGGUCAGGAGUUCGAGACCAGCCUGGCCAACAUGGUGAAACCUCAUCUCCACCAAAAAAUACAAAAAUCAGCUAGGUGUGGUGGCGUGUACUUGUAAUCCCAGCUUUUUUGGGAGGCUGAGGCAGGAGAAUUGCUUGAACCCAGGAGGCGGAGGUUGCAGUGAGCUGAGAUCACACCACUGCACUCCAGCCUGGGCAACAGAGUGAGACUCUGUCUUGAAAAAAAAAAAGUAAGGACACUCAGCCUCUGCGUUUAACAGUGGCAGUUGCUUCCCUGGUUCUGUGGCAUGAUUUUGCCUGUGUCCCACUUUCCCUAGAUUCAUUCUCACAGCCUGGUUUUCCACCAUUUCCAGCAAUUCUGCAAGCUAUCUGAAAUCCUUUCAUUAAAUUUCUUUUCUUUUUAAAUUAGCUAUAUUUAUUUUCUGUUUCUGGCAAUUAAAAAUACUGACUGAUAGAAAUGUGAUCAUCCUGACAGAUGAAUGUGACCAUGGAAAAGCUUGUGAUCCAGCUUAAUUGAAAAAUUGGGGGGAUAUAUUAGCCAAAGUUAUAUUAGGGAAACAGCUCUCUAAAUAUGUCAAGUAAAACGUAUUUAAUAUGGAAAACUAGAAGAUUAUACAGUCUGGAAGGUCCAAGGGAGCAAAGAUCUGAGAAGCCACUGUUGCAAUUCAAGAAAUUUAGGGUUGCGUGGGUUGCAGAAACCACUACUGAGGAUCUCAGCUCUGCAGCACCAAAGUGAUUCUCAGGCACAUGCCUGGAAAUCUGAGGGAGGUCUUCCCAGAUGUCUGCCAUCUGCCAGUGCUCAUGAGCUUGCCUCUAGCUGCAGCUGGAGAAAAAUGGCUUCUCCUUUAUUACCUUGCAAAUCUCAUACAAGUGUCCCUCAUCAGUAGAUUCUAAACUGAAACUCCACUGACAAAGGGAGUCUGGGAAAUGUAACUUUCCAAUUUCCAGUCCUGCCAUAAAAGGAAGAGUUUAGAAGGAUGGUCACUGGGAGAAUGGGAGAUAACUGUUCCCCUUCUAAGGUGUGGCGUGGGGGACAUGCAAAAAUGCCUGGAUUCAACUCUCUUCUCUUCUUUAAGCUUCCUCACUCUCCUAUUCCCACUACAUCUGCCAAACCAGUAAUUUCACUGAGACUUCCAGAACAUCGAUAACCCGAUUUUCUCUAGUCCGUCAGCUCCUUCCACCUUUCUUGCAAUCUUCAACUCCCUUGCCUCCUUUUCUUCCAACAGUUGCUUCUCUAUACUGCGAAAAAUCCUAACAUUGUUUCAAUCCACCUGUUUGGUUCUUAGGUACAAGCUGGCAGGUAUCAUUGGGGGAAAAAAUCCUACACCAUGCAGAUUGGUGUCAUUAGUAGUUUAUAGCUUCUAAUCAGUCCCAAGUAAGCUACAGUUCUCAUUCCCCACAACUACUGUUUCAAGCUUAGUAAUACACCUAUCAAGUCUGACUAUCCUGUCUCCUCCCCAGCCUGCACACUCUCUAAGCAAUGGCCUUGUCUCCUACUCCACAGGGAAAAUAAGUAACCUACACUUGAACUUUUCCAUGUGUUCCCUUCCUCCCCUGCACAUAAAACCUACAAACUUCUCUGUACAGUCUCCAGUCUUACCACUUUCCUCCCUGUGUUGGAGGAGGCAGACUUCUCCUGCUUAAGGCUGAAUUUCCCAUCUGUGCUAUAGAUCAUUGGCAAUCUUCGUAUCAGUUAUCACCUCUCUUGCAGAAUUGCCUCAAAUGCUGUCUCUUUCCUGCCUCAGUCCCUUCACUAUAUAACAAUGCUCAAUUCACACACAUCUUUAAAAAAAGAUGGGAGGAGGGAGUGAGGGGGAAGUUCCCUUAACUCUACACCUUCCCAUUUCCCUUUCUUUCUGCUCUUAUCCAUAGACAAGCUACCUGGCUUCCUGGCUACCCGGAAGAGUCGUUGUCUACACUCAGUCACUGUUUCCACUAACCUCACACUGGGAGACCUUAGAGCAUAUUAUUUAAGAGCUCAGUUUUUGAGAUGGUCAACCUGGGUUCAAAUUCUGCUAGGACCACUUACUUAGCUUUAUGACCUAGUACAAGUCACUUAGACUUUGCAAGUCUCUGAUUAUUAUCUUAAAUUAGGGAUAAUCAUAACUUCUCAGUGUUGUAUGCAAAGUCCUAAGCACAGUGUCUGGAAUGUAGUAAGUGUACAUUCAAUGUAACAAGUGUACAUUCAAUGUAACCUGCUACUAUUUAUUCCUUGCACCUCUGCAACCUGGUUGCUCCUCUUCUACUGUUGACACUGCCCCCAUCAAGGCCUCCAGUGAUCUUCUAGUUGCUAAAACUUAUUAAUGUUUUUCCAUUUUUUAAGACAAUAUUUUAUUUAAUUUCUUCAAGGUGUUACAUACUGUUGACUCCUCCCUCUUAAAAUACAGUCUUUUUUUUUUUUUUUUUUUUUUUUUUUUUGAGAUGUAGUCUCGCUCUGUCACCCAGGCUGGAGUGCAGUGGCAUGAUCUCGGCUCACUGCAACCUCUGCCUCUCGGGUUCAAGCAAAUCUACUGCCUCAGCCUCCUGAGUACCUGGGAUUACAGGUGCCCACCAAAGCACCCAGCUAAUUUUUGUAUUUUUUUUUAGUAGAGACG
rnacentral:lncRNA from 1 species